rnacentral:lncRNA from 12 species
AGGAGGAAGCGGUUGGCUUGCUCUGACCUGGCUAGCUCCCUCCCCCCAAGACACACACAGGCAGAUCUGGAACGCCACGGAGAAGGAAGGCCAGUCUGUGUCCCCGAGUCCUGCCCAGGGCAGUUGGGAGCCACGACGGAGCCCACGGAGCCCGGGCACUGGGGUCGGUGCUUGCCCCCGCCGCAGGCACCCAGGAAGUCCACAGGCCCGGGACUGAGCGUCCCCAGGAAAACUCUGGAAACACAGCCUGCCAAAGACCUCUCGCGUCCUGGUUUCCUCUUGGGGCAAGAAAGGAAGGAAAGGAAGGAGAAAGGAAGGAGACAGGAGAAACGAAAGCGAAAUGAUGGAGGGAAGGAGGGAAGGAAAGAAACCUGGUGCAAGUGUGAAAUCAAAAUAAUAGACUCAGGAUGGAGGUUUGAAUGGCAGUCAGGACUGGCAAAAGUUGGACUUUCAUUGUGAGCUGAGGAAGGAGGCUGGGGAAGGAAAUGGGAAGAAAGUGGAUAUGCUGAUAGGCAGGCUGGUGCUUCUCCAGGUAAGUCUACCUGCCCUGGCCCCAAGCAGUCCCCUGGGUUUAGCUGGGCCUGCAGGCUCCCAGGAUACAGCAGAACUAACAGCCUGGAACACCAAGUAUCUGGGCAGAUCAGAUCGUCUGCCUAGAGGGGAGCAAUACAGCAGGAAGAGCCCAGCUCCAGUCUCUGUUCUACCCCCUUCCUAACAGAGUUAACUAGUCCAAGCCUCCUGACAUCCCAGAGCCUCAGUUCUUCAUCUGUGAGGUGGGGAUCAAUCAGACAAGAACCAAAGUCAAAGUCAAAUAUGAUUGUUAAUCUACUUACCUGUGCUCAGUAGAUGGUCAUUGAGACUGGUUAUAAACAGAUUUCUAUCGGGGAGUAUCUCAUACUGCCAGGAAAUAAGCAAAGACCAUUCAGAAAAAUGAAGUGUCUUUGUUUUUUUCAGUAAACACCUCCCCAUCAGAACAAAACAAGCCUGCAAGGCAUGCUGAAAAACUUGCCAUGAUAGCAAGGGUUUGGAGGAAGGAUAAGAAAAGAGAUCUCCUGUAGGAUUAUACUAGAAGAACCAGAACCUCAAAUUUCUUAAAUGCUCCAAAAUUUGUGCUAUGGCCUAUUAUAUAGAAAUUCUUACAGCUAAGAUCCAAUAUAUAUUUUCCAGAUGACACACACUAGUAGAAUCAAAUUGUGUGUGUGUGUGGGGGGGGGGGGCAGUGAUUUUGGAACUAUGUCCGUCUGUCAGUCAUCUAUUUAUGAACAAUCUAUACUUCUCCCUUCUUUGGCUUCAUUUUUCUUAUAUAUGCACAUAUACGUGGUUUCGUGCAACAAAUGGUCAUAUGACUAGGGGUGAGGGUGUAAUGGAAAAACAAAAGCUCAAAUUUUGAAGAGACAUAUUCCUGGAACAAUCCAUGGCUCUGCCUUGUAUUAUCCAAGUGGCAUGUCAGAGAAAACCU